UACGAAGGGGGCUAGCGUUGUUCGGAAUUACUGGGCGUAAAGCGCACGUAGGCGGCUUGGUAAGUUGGGGGUGAAAUCCCGGGGCUCAACCUCGGAAAUUGCCUUCAAGACUGCUUGGCUUGAGUUCGGAAGAGGUGAGUGGAAUUCCCAGUGUAGAGGUGAAAUUCGUAGAGAUUGGGAAGAACACCAGUGGCGAAGGCGGACUCUCUGGGACGGUACUGACGCUGAGGUGCGAAAGCGUGGGGAGCAAACAGG
rnacentral:rRNA from 1 species